UGGGGAAUAUUGGACAAUGGGCGAAAGCCUGAUCCAGCCAUGCCGCGUGAAUGAUGAAGGCCUUAGGGUUGUAAAGUUCUUUCGUUGGUGAAGAUAAUGACGGUAACCAAAGAAGAAGCUCCGGCUAACUUCGUGCCAGCAGCCGCGGUAAUACGAAGGGGGCUAGCGUUGUUCGGAAUCACUGGGCGUAAAGCGCGCGUAGGCGGUCUAUCAAGUCAGAGGUGAAAUGCCGGGGCUCAACCCCGGAACUGCCUUUGAAACUGAUAGACUGGAAUCUUGGAGGGGGUAGUGGAAUUCCUAGUGUAGAGGUGAAAUUCGUAGAUACUAGGAGGAACACCGGUGGCGAAGGCGGCUACCUGGACAAGCAUUGACGCUGAGGCGCGAAAGCGUGGGGAGCAAACAG
rnacentral:rRNA from 1 species